CUUUUCUUCAGCAGCGCUCUCUGUGCAGCUUUCUUGUAAAUGGAUGAUUCACCUGUUCGACCAGCAGAGAUUCUAAUUCUUCCCCCCCUUCUUCUCUUUUUUUCCUUUUUAAAGCUGAACGGCUUCCCGAAGAGCACUGAGUUUUCUAUACCAGAUUCUGCUCCAGUGGCUAGGACCUUUAUGGCUGCUGUUUCUUUUGCUCUGGGCUCUGAUGGAAGAAAAAAAAAAAAAAAAGCCACCGUGGAUCCCGUCCCUAAAGUAGAAAUUUUCUUUUUCCUUCUGCAAACAAGGCUAAAGAUCGGAGGAGAAUGAAUACGAAAGUAAUUUGGGAUCGUGGUUGUGCCAUUAAAAGUGUUCGGCUUCAGAAAGAAAUUGUUUGGGAAAUCCAAUUAUUUCUUCUCACUGUAUCGACAGUAUUUGAAAGUUGUGUGUUCUUUGAGUAAUCUGGUGCAAGUGACAACAAUCUCCGCAUGCCAGUAUUUUCUACAGUUUAUGGAGCGAAAGCUUGCUUUGACAUUGAAAGGAAGAAGCUUUUGCUAGCAGUCUGUAGAAGGAUUAAAUGUUGAACGUGGGGAAGAGGCAAAAAGUGAAUACACGCCCAGAGGUUAUCCUUGCAUCGAGAAGGGCUCUAAAGUACUCUGUAACCUAGGGCCCACCUGAACAGGAGGACUGAAAGUAUAAAGGGGAAAUAUUGCAAUUAGAAACCCCUUCACAUGCAUUUAAUCCUUCUUUAAGGCAUGAAAGGAAAUAGAAUCAAAUCGUUACUGUACGAAUCUGCUGGAAGAAGCAGGUUUUAACCCAUUUUUAGACGCUUCCUUCCGAUGCAUUGUAAUAUGGCUACUUGUGAGUCAAGGCAGUGAAGAUUUUUGCUGUGCUCUUUUCUUUUUGCUUUCAAAAGUUAAGGACUGUAAGAAAAGUCUGUUCAGUCAGCUGAUACAUUGUCUUGAAUAUGCUGCAGGACCUUGUUGAUGCAUCAGACUUCACUGAGACAAAGGCUUCAUACAGAUCAGGCAUCCAAACUAUUUGUUCAUUUCAGAAGUGGUAUUUUGGCUGCAGUGUUUUUUUUCCACUUGUGUGGGAGGAAUUGUGUUUUAUUGUAAGCAUCAAUACUUUUGUUAAAAUAAAUUGCUCUUAUCUCUUAGAGUAAUACUUUUUCUUGUUGUCUUGUUUUAUUAAGAGGCAGAAACUAUGCGCUGUACGUAGCUUUCAAGUUGCUCAAGGUAUAAUUAGUGCUUAAAUAGUCAUAAAAAUAGUCUUACCAAUUACAAUGAUGAUACAGUUUCUGUAAAGAUGCUGUUCUUUCCACCAUAAACUGUCAAUCGCACAUACUCAGAACACUCAAAAGAGCUACUUGCAAACAUUCAGUCAUGGAGGUAAUUUCUUUUUAUGCAGAUGUGUUAUUGAACACCACUGACUUCUAUUCAGACGAUGUUAGAAAAAUAGAUCUGAAUUUGUAUGUGAAAAACUAAUUCACUCAGAUAGGUGCUACGCCAAGAAAGCAGUUUGGUAGCAGCUGAUAUGUAUUAUGUGUAAUACUCAUAGUCCUGAAAAGGGUGUAUUUAAGGCACUGCUCAGGUGAAUGCACUCUGAUCAUUCAAGUUACAUAAUGAGAUAAAACCAUAUUGCGCGUAGGUAUAUGCAUAUUGGUAUACAGUUUAAAUUAUGCACAGAAUUUGUCAAAAUAAAAAACCUAAUAUAUUUAAU
rnacentral:lncRNA from 7 species